GAUGAACGCUGGCGGCGUGCCUAAUACAUGCAAGUCGAGCGAACAGACGAGGAGCUUGCUCCUCUGACGUUAGCGGCGGACGGGUGAGUAACACGUGGAUAACCUACCUAUAAGACUGGGAUAACUUCGGGAAACCGGAGCUAAUACCGGAUAAUAUAUUGAACCGCAUGGUUCAAUAGUGAAAGACGGCUUUGCUGUCACUUAUAGCUGGAUCCGCGCCGCAUUAGCUAGUUGGUAAGGUAACGGCUUACCAAGGCAACGAUGCGUAGCCGACCUGAGAGGGUGAUCGGCGACACUGGAGCUGGGACGCGGACCAGGCGCCUACGGGAGGCAGCAGUAGGCAAUCUUCCGCAAUGGGCGAAAGCUUGACGGAGCAACGCCGCGUGAGUGAUGAAGGUCUUCGGAGCGUAAAACUCUGUUAUUAGGGAAGAACAAAUGUGUAAGUAACUAUGCACGUCUUGACGGUACCUAGUCAAGAAGCCACGGCUAACUACGUG
rnacentral:rRNA from 1 species